UACGGAGGGUGCAAGCGUUAUCCGGAUUCACUGGGUUUAAAGGGUGCGUAGGUGGGCAGGUAAGUCAGUGGUGAAAUCUCCGGGCUUAACUCGGAAACUGCCGUUGAUACUAUCUGUCUUGAAUAUCGUGGAGGUUAGCGGAAUAUGUCAUGUAGCGGUGGAAUGCUUAGAUAUGACAUAGAACACCCAUUGCGAAGGCAGCUAACUACACGAUCAUUGACACUGAGGCACGAAAGCGUGGGGAGCAAACAGG
rnacentral:rRNA from 1 species